UACGGAGGGUGCGAGCGUUGUCCGGAAUCACUGGGCGUAAAGGGCGCGUAGGCGGCGCGGAUAGUCGGCGGUGAAAGCCCGGAGCUCAACUCCGGGUCGGCCGUCGAUACUUCCGGGCUUGAGCACUGUAGAGGCAGAUGGAAUUCCGGGUGUAGCGGUGGAAUGCGUAGAGAUCCGGAAGAACACCGGUGGCGAAGGCGGUCUGCUGGGCAGUAGCUGACACUGAGGCGCGACAGCGUGGGGAGCAAACAGG
rnacentral:rRNA from 1 species